rnacentral:rRNA from 1 species
UUUCAACGCGACCCCAGGUCAGGCGGGAUUACCCGCUGAAUUUAAGCAUAUCAAUAAGCGGGAGGAA